UUCAUUUGUUCAGGUGGGUUUGGUAAGUUUUUCAUUAUUGAUUUUUGGAUGUGUUUAAGUUUUAUAUGUCUAAAAUUUAUGGCUAAAAUUUGAGAAUUUUUCAAUUGCUGAAUUUGGAGAUAUAAAUAUUGAAUUUAGGCUGUCUGAAUUGAAAUUUUGAAUUUUGGGCUGCUGAAAUUUGAGGAAAUUAAAUAAUUAGAAUGCUUAAAAAAUAUAUGAAAUUUGGUAGAGAUGAUCAUUACGAUGUCCAGACUGUCGUAUUAAAAUUUGAUGAAUAUUAGACUUAUGUUUUAUGAGAUAUAAAUUGUUUUGUAUGA
rnacentral:misc_RNA from 1 species